rnacentral:lncRNA from 1 species
CCUUCAUUAAGUUUGCUUGUGUCUGGGAAAGCCACAUGCCCUCCAACCAUGCUCAGCCAUGGAGGCUCAUCUUUGACAGACAGGCAGGAAAUGCUCUUGACCAUCUGCUGCUGCUCUAAGAAACGAGUGUUUACUACCAGAAAUAUCGGAGGUAUCUGGGAUAGAUCACAGCAGAGUGUAAGGGCAGAGUGCAGCCACUUAUGCAAAGCUGUGCCACGGUCAUCGCCAGCCUGGAGUUGGAAGCUGCUCAGUCAGCAGCAGCCUCCUCCCGUGGCACCGGGAGGCUGCAGCCCGCAGCGUGCUCAGCGAGCCCUGGAGCAGUAGGGAGUACAAGGAUGGACACGGGGAUUUUGCUAUGGCCAAGCAGUAGGGACGGUUGGUGUGAUGCACCUCAUCUGAAGGGACAGGGUACAGAGGAGCGAUGAAAUGGGCUCCACGUGCUGGGGGAGCCGGCAGUGGGCAAGGAAAACUGCCUCGUGCUCAGUGGAUGUCAGCCAGAACCAACCCUGGGAAUCAGCUCCUUGCUCAGUGCCCUCUGCCAUGGAGGCAGCAAAGCAGAGGGCCGCCUCACUGCAGUCCUCUGUAGGCAAUUCUGCCAUAAGUUCAUUUAGGUGAGCUGUCUUUAGUUCCUUGCUCCACUCGCCGUAAUUGCUUCUUCAGAGUGAUGCUACACCUCAGGCGUGGGGCUGCUGCCUGGCUGGCCUUCCAUAGACAGACCAAGGAAGCUUCUGGAAACAUUCCCAGUCCUUGGCGUAUUCAUC